rnacentral:rRNA from 1 species
CGGUCCAGACUCCUACGGGAGGCAGCGAGUAGGGAAUUCUUCCGCAAUGGACGAAAGUCUGACGGAGCAACGCCGCGUGAGUGAUGAAGGUUUUCGGAUUCGUAAAACUCUGUUAUUAGGGAAGAACAAAUGUGUAAGUAACUGUGCACAUCUUGACGGUACCUAAUCAGAAAGCCACGGCUAACUACGUGCCAGCAGCCGCGGUAA